rnacentral:misc_RNA from 1 species
AUACAAGCUCAAGUAGUGAAAUUAGAACAUCAAGCAAACAAGCUCAACUGUGUCUUUGGGUGUUCUCCAAUUGGCUGGCGUCAACGACGAUGAUGCUACUCGGUGGUUGCCGUCUUCAUUUUCGUCAGGGCUACAUGAGAAUCAGAUGUCCACCUUGCCAAGCUUUUUCUCAGUUAAAUCUAGCACUAGUCCUAACCAGAGUUUUCUUGAGCUCUGCUGCAAAGACUUAUGAGUCUCCCUGUGUGCUAUUUCAUUUCCUUUCACGGUUUCCACCAUAGAAGAUGAUGUUUUGUGCCAAGGAAAAUGGAGCUACUUUUGUCAGGAAGAUUGAAACUUCGGGUGUUACUCGUUUUCUUCUAGGGAUCCAAUGUAUUAAUUUAAUGGAUUUGGGUCAUAAUCUUGUAGCAAAAUUAUUUUUUUUUAUGGGUUUUUGGACCUUGUAUCUGUGAUCCUAUCAACAAAG